rnacentral:rRNA from 1 species
GACGAACGCUGGCGGCGUGCUUAACACAUGCAAGUCGAACGGAAAGGCCCUGCUUUUGUGGGGUGCUCGAGUGGCGAACGGGUGAGUAACACGUGAGUAACCUGCCCUUGACUUUGGGAUAACUUCAGGAAACUGGGGCUAAUACCGGAUAGGAGCUCCUGCUGCAUGGUGGGGGUUGGAAAGUUUCGGCGGUUGGGGAUGGACUCGCGGCUUAUCAGCUUGUUGGUGGGGUAGUGGCUUACCAAGGCUUUGACGGGUAGCCGGCCUGAGAGGGUGACCGGCCACAUUGGGACUGAGAUACGGCCCAGACUCCUACGGGAGGCAGCAGUGGGGAAUAUUGCACAAUGGGCGGAAGCCUGAUGCAGCAACGCCGCGUGCGGGAUGACGGCCUUCGGGUUGUAAACCGCUUUCGCCUGUGACGAAGCGUGAGUGACGGUAAUGGGUAAAGAAGCACCGGCUAACUACGUGCCAGCAGCCGCGGUGAUACGUAGGGUGCGAGCGUUGUCCGGAUUUAUUGGGCGUAAAGGGCUCGUAGGUGGUUGAUCGCGUCGGAAGUGUAAUCUUGGGGCUUAACCCUGAGCGUGCUUUCGAUACGGGUUGACUUGAGGAAGGUAGGGGAGAAUGGAAUUCCUGGUGGAGCGGUGGAAUGCGCAGAUAUCAGGAGGAACACCAGUGGCGAAGGCGGUUCUCUGGGCCCUUCCUGACGCUGAGGAGCGAAAGCGUGGGGAGCGAACAGGCUUAGAUACCCUGGUAGUCCACGCUGUAAACGGUGGGUACUAGGUGUGGGGUCCAUUCCACGGGUUCCGUGCCGUAGCUAACGCUUUAAGUACCCCGCCUGGGGAGUACGGCCGCAAGGCUAAAACUCAAAGGAAUUGACGGGGCCCCGCACAAGCGGCGGAGCAUGCGGAUUAAUUCGAUGCAACGCGUAGAACCUUACCUGGGUUUGACAUGGAUCGGGAGUGCUCAGAGAUGGGUGUGCCUCUUUUGGGGUCGGUUCACAGGUGGUGCAUGCCUGUCGUCAGCUCGUGUCGUGAGAUGUUGGGUUAAGUCCCGCAACGAGCGCAACCCUUGUUCACUGUUGCCAGCACGUUAUGGUGGGGACUCAGUGGAGACCGCCGGGGUCAACUCGGAGGAAGGUGGGGAUGACGUCAAGUCAUCAUGCCCCUUAUGUCCAGGGCUUCACGCAUGCUACAAUGGCUGGUACAGAGAGUGGCGAGCCUGUGAGGGUGAGCGAAUCUCGGAAAGCCGGUCUCAGUUCGGAUUGGGGUCUGCAACUCGACCUCAUGAAGUCGGAGUCGCUAGUAAUCGCAGAUCAGCAACGCUGCGGUGAAUAAAUCCCCGGGGCU